CAGGCUUAACACAUGCAAGUCGAGGGGCAGCAUGGUCUUAGCUUGCUAAGGCCGAUGGCGACCGGCGCACGGGUGAGUAACACGUAUCCAACCUGCCGUCUACUCUUGGACAGCCUUCUGAAAGGAAGAUUAAUACAAGAUGGCAUCAUGAGUCCACAUGUUCACAUGAUUAAAGGUAUUCCGGUAGACGAUGGGGAUGCGUUCCAUUAGAUAGUAGGCGGGGUAACGGCCCACCUAGUCUUCGAUGGAUAGGGGUUCUGAGAGGAAGGUCCCCCACAUUGGAACUGAGACACGGUCCAAACUCCUACGGGAGGCAGCAGUGAGGAAUAUUGGUCAAUGGGCGAGAGCCUGAACCAGCCAAGUAGCGUGAAGGAUGACUGCCCUAUGGGUUGUAAACUUCUUUUAUAAAGGAAUAAAGUCGGGUAUGCAUACCCGUUUGCAUGUACUUUAUGAAUAAGGAUCGGCUAACUCCGUGCCAGCAGCCGCGGUAAUACGGAGGAUCCGAGCGUUAUCCGGAUUUAUUGGGUUUAAAGGGAGCGUAGAUGGAUGUUUAAGUCAGUUGUGAAAGUUUGCGGCUCAACCGUAAAAUUGCAGUUGAUACUGGAUAUCUUGAGUGCAGUUGAGGCAGGCGGAAUUCGUGGUGUAGCGGUGAAAUGCUUAGAUAUCACGAAGAACUCCGAUUGCGAAGGCGGCCUGCUAAGCUGCAACUGACAUUGAGGCUCGAAAGUGUGGGUAUCAAACAGGAUUAGAUACCCUGGUAGUCCACACGGUAAACGAUGAAUACUCGCUGUUUGCGAUAUACAGCAAGCGGCCAAGCGAAAGCGUUAAGUAUUCCACCUGGGGAGUACGCCGGCAACGGUGAAACUCAAAGGAAUUGACGGGGGCCCGCACAAGCGGAGGAACAUGUGGUUUAAUUCGAUGAUACGCGAGGAACCUUACCCGGGCUUAAAUUGCAGAUGAAUUACGGUGAAAGCCGUAAGCCGCAAGGCAUCUGUGAAGGUGCUGCAUGGUUGUCGUCAGCUCGUGCCGUGAGGUGUCGGCUUAAGUGCCAUAACGAGCGCAACCCUUGUUGUCAGUUACUAACAGGUCAUGCUGAGGACUCUGACAAGACUGCCAUCGUAAGAUGUGAGGAAGGUGGGGAUGACGUCAAAUCAGCACGGCCCUUACGUCCGGGGCUACACACGUGUUACAAUGGGGGGUACAGAGGGCCGCUACCACGCGAGUGGAUGCCAAUCCCAAAAACCUCUCUCAGUUCGGACUGGAGUCUGCAACCCGACUCCACGAAGCUGGAUUCGCUAGUAAUCGCGCAUCAGCCACGGCGCGGUGAAUACGUUCCCGGGCCUUGUACACACCGCCCGUCAAGCCAUGGGAGCCGGGGGUACCUGAAGUGCGUAACCGCGAGGAGCGCCCUAGGGUAAAACUGGUGACUGGGGC
rnacentral:rRNA from 1 species